GGGUUAGUAGGUUGGUCAUGCCUCUGGUAUGUACUGACCUCACUGAUUCCUCCUUCCUGAUGAGCCGUAAUGCCAUUAAUUUGGUGUUGCGGGGAAUUUGGACUGUUACUUUGAAAAAAUUAGAGUGUUUAAAGCAGGCUAUUGCCUGAAUACAUUAGCAUGGAAUAAUGAAAUAGGACGUUCGAUCCUAUUUUGUUGGUUUCCAGGAUUGACGUA
rnacentral:rRNA from 1 species